UACGUAGGGUGCAAGCGUUGUCCGGAAUUAUUGAGCGUAAAGAGCUCGUAGGCGGUUUGUCGCGUCUGCUGUGAAAACGCGAGGCUCAACCUCGCGCCUGCAGUGGGUACGGGCAGACUAGAGUGCGGUAGGGGAGAUUGGAAUUCCUGGUGUAGCGGUGGAAUGCGCAGAUAUCAGGAAGAACACCCGUGGCGAAAGCGGCUCUCUGGAACGGUACUGACGCUGAGACGCGAAAGCGUGGGUAGCAAACGGG
rnacentral:rRNA from 1 species